rnacentral:rRNA from 1 species
CCUACGGGUGGCAGCAGUGGGGGAUAUUGGACAAUGGGGGAAACCCUGAUCAGCGACGCCGCGUGAGUUAAGAAGUAUUUCGGUAUUUAAAGCCCUGUCAGCAGGGAAGAAAGAAAUGACGGUACCUGACCAAGAAGCCCCGGCUAACUACGUGCCAGCAGACGCGGUAAUACGUAGGGGGCAAGCGUUAUCCGGAAUUACUGGGGGUAAAGGGAGCGUAGGCGGUGAGGCAAGGCUGGAGUGAAAGGCGGGGGCGCAACCCCCGGACUGCUCUGGGAACUGGGUAACUUGAGUGCAGGAGAGGUAAGCGGAAUUCGUAGUGUAGCGGUGAAAUGCGUAGAUAUUAGGAGGAACACCAGUGGCGAAGGCGGCUUACUGGACUGUAACUGACGUUGAGGUUCGAAAGCGUGGGGAGCAAACAGGAUUAGAUACCCUAGUAGUC